AACGAGCGCUGGCGGCGCGCCUAAUACAUGCAAGUCGAGCGAGAAGACGUAGCAAUACGUUUGUAAAGCGGCGAACGGGUGAGGAAUACAUGGGUAACCUACCCUCGAGUGGGGAAUAACUAGCCGAAAGGUUAGCUAAUACCGCGUACGCUCCUUGGACUUCGGUUCAGGGAGGAAAGCGAUACCGUGGGUAUCGCGCUCUUGGAUGGGCUCAUGUCCUAUCAGCUUGUUGGNGAGGUAACGGCUCACCAAGGCUUCGACGGGUAGCUGGUCUGAGAGGACAAUCAGCCACACUGGCACUGCGACACGGGCCAGACUCCUACGGGUGGCAGCAGUAGGGAAUAUUGCACAAUGGGCGAAAGCCUGAUGCAGCAACGCCGCGUGCAUGAUGAAGGCCUUCGGGUCGUAAA
rnacentral:rRNA from 1 species